CGCAGCUGCGCUCCCUGCAGCGUAACUGCUCGGGCGCCAACAGCUGUCUUCUGCAGACGGAGAAAGCAGACGGUGACGUCACGUUGUGCCCGACCACCAACGCCAGCCGAGUGACCAGUCAGACGAUACUCAACUACGUUUGUAUAAGCGACAGUUUGGUGUCUGAAAUCUGCAACGUUGACGAGUCAGUGGUCAGCGGCAUCACACUGUUCGCUCGCUUGGAUGGCCGGACUCCGGUCAACAAGCGGCUGGCGAAGGGCAGCGUGUGCACGUGCACGGCGGAGACGACAAGAUGGCCGACCAACAACUCGAUCGCCGUCUUCGUGGUGGACACCCGCCUCAACAGGCCGGAAGUGUCCGACUGCGCAAACGCAUCGUUUUCUGUCAGAUCUGUCAACAACAACCGGGUGUUCGACUGCUCCUCCAACCGAGACCCCAGGGUCAACUACCCCUUCGUCACGGUCCUGAACGAGAGCAACGUGGCGCACCUGCGGUUCCAGGUGACCAGCGGUCUGCCAGAGUAUAUCUGGGUCGGGUUUGAAGCGAACCUAAACGAGGACAUCCGUGUGUCGUGUAAACUCCAGGGCGUGGUCCCCAUCAAACAAGACGACCCUAAAGGG